rnacentral:rRNA from 1 species
GACGAACGCUGGCGGCGCGCUUAACACAUGCCAGUCGAACGGAAAGGCCUGCUUUCCCUUGUGGAUUGCGGGUACUCGAGUGGCGAACGGGUGAGUAACACGUGAGUGAUCUGCCCCCAACUUGGGUAUAAGCCUGGGAAGCUGGGUCUAAUUCCCGAUAGGACUGCAGGGUGGUGCCUGUGGUGGAAAACGAUUUUCUAGUGGUUGGGGAUGAGCUCGCGGCCUAUCAGCUUGUUGGUGGGGUAAUGGCCUACCAAGGCGGCGACGGGUAGCCGGCCUGGGAGGGUGGACGGCCGCAUGGGGACUGAGAGACGGCCCGGAGCACUAGGGGGGGAGGGAGGGGGGAAUGUGCAACACGGGGGGGAGCCCUGAGGCGGCGCGCCCGCGGGGGGGAUGCCGCCGUUGGGUUGGUAACCUCCUUUCGCCGGGGAGGAACCCCCUGGGUUGGAGGGGUGGUGAGGGUAGUGAAAAAAGAAGCCCCGGCAAACUAGGUG